rnacentral:lncRNA from 1 species
AUGGAGUCGGCGCGCCAUGCACGCGGGGAGUCAGGCGCGGUGCCGGGUGGGUCACAGCGCCAACAGUUUGGACUUCUAGUCCCAGGCGAGCUUGAUGGAGGUCUUCACUCUCUAAACUCUCUCUCUUAUGAUUUCGUUUUUACCAUUUAUUCAACAACAAAUCAACUCGAUUUCUAAUGUCCUAUCUCUGAAUCAAAAAUGGAGGCUCAACAUAAUUUAAAAGCGGAAACAGAGGCGCUGUUGAAUGUAGAGAAGCAGAUUAGACUCGCCGGAGACGUCUCCGGAACCAAAAAUAACGUCACUGACAUCCUUCAACUAUGCUUCGAGGCCAGAGCGUGGAAGACCCUCAACGACCAGAUUGCUUUUUUAUGGAAACGACGUGACCAACUUAAACAGACUGUAACUACAAUGGUCCAGCAAACUAUGUUGUAUAUUGACCAAACACCGGAUAUUAAAACUAAGAUUGGGCCCAUUUAAAACACUUAACAGUGUGCUGAGUGGAAAGAAGCUUGGCUGAAAGAAUGGAAAUGCUCUAGAUCAUUGAAGGUAAUAGUUUCCAACUUUUUACAGAUUUCAUGGCUUGCAUGGUAUCUAGGAGUGGUGAAAGCUCAGCAUGGUUGGGCAGGUAGACAAUAAAACUAACUAGUUGUUGUGACUCGAAAAGGCAGACCAAAACGAAGACAAGGAUUGAGGUACCAAAAACAGAGAUGAACGACCUCAAACGGAACACUUUCAAAAUGAUAAAUAAACAAACAAAAUACUCAAUAUAUGGGAACCCGUUUCAUGCCGAAAUAAAUGGGCUCCAUGGCCGAUGACAUAACUCGAACCGUAUCCAGAUUUAUCUUUGCAGUGAACGCCCAAAGAGAGUGACAAAGAAAACAGAGCAAUAAUAUACCCAAAUAACAUGAGAGCUAGAAAACCACCAGAUAAAUACAUGAAGAAUGAUAUGAUAAGGAUGAUGAAUAGAAAAACCACAAUGCUCGUACCUGAAAGCCUCUUCCCCGUUUAAGAUAUCUCGUCUUCAAAAACUCAUCUGAAUGAAUCCCUUGGAGCCCCCGUUACUUGGUUCCCCGGUGAGCUGUAAAGACCCCUGCUCUGUUCCUUC